rnacentral:rRNA from 1 species
GUCAAGCAAAUCCCAUAAAGUUGUUCUCAGUUCGGAUUGUAGUCUGCAACUCGACUACAUGAAGCUGGAAUCGCUAGUAAUCGUAGAUCAGCAUGCUACGGUGAAUACGUUCCCGGGUCUUGUACACACCGCCCGUCACACCACGAGAGUUUGUAACACCCGAAGCCGGUGGAGUAACCUUUUAGGAGCUAGCCGUCGAAGGUGGGACAAAUGAUUGGGGUGAAGUCGUAACAAGGUAGCCGUAUCGGAAGGUGCGGCUGGAUCACCUCCUUU